rnacentral:rRNA from 1 species
UGGGGAAUAUUGCACAAUGGGCGCAAGCCUGAUGCAGCGACGCCGCGUGCGGGAUGGAGGCCUUCGGUUGUAAACCGCUUUUGUUCAAGGGCAAGGCACGGCUUCGGGCCGUGUUGAGUGGAUUGUUCGAAUAAGCACCGGCUAACUACGUGCC